rnacentral:rRNA from 1 species
ACAUGCAAGUCGAGCGGACAGAUGGGAGCUUGCUCCCUGAUGUUAGCGGCGGACGGGUGAGUAACACGUGGGUAACCUGCCUGUAAGACUGGGAUAACUCCGGGAAACCGGGGCUAAUACCGGAUGGUUGUCUGAACCGCAUGGUUCAGACAUAAAAGGUGGCUUCGGCUACCACUUACAGAUGGACCCGCGGCGCAUUAGCUAGUUGGUGAGGUAACGGCUCACCAAGGCGACGAUGCGUAGCCGACCUGAGAGGGUGAUCGGCCACACUGGGACUGAGACACGGCCCAGACUCCUACGGGAGGCAGCAGUAGGGAAUCUUCCGCAAUGGACGAAAGUCUGACGGAGCAACGCCGCGUGAGUGAUGAAGGUUUUCGGAUCGUAAAGCUCUGUUGUUAGGGAAGAACAAGUGCCGUUCAAAUAGGGCGGCACCUUGACGGUACCUAACCAGAAAGCCACGGCUAACUACGUGCCAGCAGCCGCGGUAAUACGUAGGUGGCAAGCGUUGUCCGGAAUUAUUGGGCGUAAAGGGCUCGCAGGCGGUUUCUUAAGUCUGAUGUGAAAGCCCCCGGCUCAACCGGGGAGGGUCAUUGGAAACUGGGGAACUUGAGUGCAGAAGAGGAGAGUGGAAUUCCACGUGUAGCGGUGAAAUGCGUAGAGAUGUGGAGGAACACCAGUGGCGAAGGCGACUCUCUGGUCUGUAACUGACGCUGAGGAGCGAAAGCGUGGGGAGCGAACAGGAUUAGAUACCCUGGUAGUCCACGCCGUAAACGAUGAGUGCUAAUUGUUUAGGGGGGUUUCCGCCCCUUAGUGCUGCAGCUAACGCAUUAAGCACUCCGCCUGGGGGAGUACGGUCGCAAGACUGAAACUCAAAGGAAUUGACGGGCGCCCGCACAAGCGGUGGAAGCAUGUGGUUUAAUUCGAAGCAACGCGAAGAACCUUACCAGGUCUUGACAUCCUCUGACAAUCCUAGAAGAUAGGACGUCCCCUUCGGGGGCAGAGUGACAGGUGGGUGCAAGGGUUGUCCGUCGCCUCGUGUCGUGAAGAUUUUUGGGGUUAAGUUCCCGCAACGAAGCGCAACCCUUUGAUCUUAGUUGCCCAGCAUUCAGUUGGGCACUCUUAAGGUGAACUGCCCGGUGACAAACCCGAAGAAAAGGUGGGGGGAUAAACCUCCAAAUCAUCCAUGCCCCCUUAUAAACCUGGGGCUAACACCCGUGCUUACAAUGGAACAGAAAAAAAAGGGCAACGAAAACCCCCCGGGGUUA